AAGGCGCUUGAGAGAACUCUGGAGCAGGAACUCGGCAAAUUGACACCGUAACUUCGGAAGAAGGUGUGCCUUUAGUAGGUGAUCCAUUUACUUGGUGAGCCCAAUGAGGCCGCAGAGAAUCGGUGGCUGCAACUGUUUAAUAAAAACACAGCACUCUGCAAAGACGAAAGUCGACGUAUAGGGUGUGACGCCUGCCCGGUGCUGGAUAUUAAAUGAUGGGGUGCAAGCUCUUGAUUGAAGUCCCAGUAAACGGCGGCCGUAACGAUAACGGUCCUAAGGUAGCGAAAUUCCUUGUCGGGUAAGUUCCGACCUGCACGAAUGGCGUAAUGAUGGCCACACUGUCUCCUCCAGAGACUCAGCGAAGUUGAAAUGUUUGUGAUGAUGCAAUCUCCCCGCGGAAAGACGGAAAGACCCCAUGAACCUUUACUGUAGCUUUACAUUGGACUUUGAACAGAUCUGUGUAGGAUAGGUGGGAGGCUUUGAAGCGGUGCCGCUAGGUGUCGUGGAGCCAACCUUGAAAUACCACCCUGGUGUGUUUGAGGUUCUAACCUUGGCCCGUUAUCCGGGUUGGGGACAGUGUAUGGUGGGCAGUUUGACUGGGGCGGUCUCCUCCCAAAGUGUAACGGAGGAGUUCGAAGGUACGCUAAAUACGGUCGGAAAUCGUGUUGAUAGUGCAUUGGCAUAAGCGUGCUUGACUGCGAGACUGACAAGUCGAGCAGGUACGAAAGUAGGACAAAGUGAUCCGGUGGUUCUGUAUGGAAGGGCCAUCGCUCAACGGAUAAAAGGUACUCUGGGGAUAACAGGCUGAUACCGCCCAAGAGUUCAUAUCGACGGCGGUGUUUGGCACCUCGAUGUCGGCUCAUCUCAUCCUGGGGCUGUAGCCGGUCCCAAGGGUAUGGCUGUUCGCCAUUUAAAGAGGUACGUGAGCUGGGUUUAAAACGUCGUGAGACAGUUUGGUCCCUAUCUUCCGUGGGCGCUGCAAGAUUGAGAGAGCCUGCUCCUAGUACGAGAGGACCGGAGUGGACGCACCUCUGGUGUAUCGGUUGUCACGCCAGUGGCAUUGCCGAGUAGCUAAGUGCGGAAGAGAUAACCGCUGAAAGCAUCUAAGCGGGAAACUCGUCUCAAGAUGAGUCUUGCCGGGGCCUUGAGCCCCCUGAAGGGUCGUUCGAGACCAGGACGUUGAUAGGUCGGGUGUGGAAGCGCAGUAAUGCGUUAAGCUAACCGAUACUAAUUGCCCGUGAGGCUU
rnacentral:rRNA from 1 species